UAACUCUGGUUUCCCUUCAAAACGCAUAAAUCUUUUCGGCUUUUAUUAAGAUAUCCGUGAGGGGAACACAACCAAUGAGUCUUACUCAAUUUUUUCUAUUCCCACUUUCUGUGGGUU